CAGCAGCCGCGGUAAUACGAAGGGUGCAAGCGUUAAUCGGAAUUACUGGGCGUAAAGCGUGCGUAGGCGGUUUGUUAAGUCUGUUGUGAAAUCCCCGGGCUCAACCUGGGAAUGGCAAUGGAUACUGGCAAGCUAGAGUGUGUCAGAGGAUGGUGGAAUUCCCGGUGUAGCGGUGAAAUGCGUAGAGAUCGGGAGGAACAUCAGUGGCGAAGGCGGCCAUCUGGGACAACACUGACGCUGAGGCACGAAAGCGUGGGGAGCAAACAGGAUUAGAGACCCGCGUAGUCCCUGUCUCUUAUAC
rnacentral:rRNA from 1 species